CAUUCGAAAUUUAAGUUAUCAUAGAGUUGUGUUGACGUUAAGUUGAGAGAAGGCGUGGAAAACGCGGAAACCACACAAGCGAAAGGCAUUUGAAGUUCUAAAACUGUGUAAAAAUCGUUUGCGACGCGCAGUAACCAAUUGGUGAGAUUUUUGGUUGACAAAAAGUUGAUUGAAAACUAAUUGGCGAAAGUGAUAUCUUUAAUAAUUCAAAAGUGCAACGAUUGAUACUAUUAGAAUACUGAAAUAAUUCGAGUUAAAUGGAUCAUCGCUAUUGUCUUUAAAUUGCCGUUUUUGGUGUAACGUGUCUACGGAAGUUGGAAUGUAAAACGAAAACGAGACGGCAUUUAAUAUACAAAAGUGAUGACAAACGCAUUAAUGAAUUCCAUCAACCCACCAAAGUAAAGAAGCAAAUAGUUGAGCGUUAAUAUAAUACAUACAAAAACAAUUGUAAACAAAAUGCAAUAAAAGCAAUAAAAAUUAACAACGAGGAAAAAACCAUUUAAGCUGUGACCUUAUACGUGCGCUUAAAUAAUGCGGAAUGACCAUGCGUCACACCUUCAGAUAACCAGGACAACAGCAGUUGCAGCUGCAAACAUGUGAACCAAAAAAUGUAUUAACAUAAAAUCACAAUCAGCAGCGACAUUAGAAAUAUAACAUGAAAACAUUCAUCGAGUGGGGGAUAUGUUCAGCAAUGGCGGCAGUCAAUAUAAAAACAUUUUUUGUAACAUAUGCCAAAAUUUAUUUUACUUACCAUAAACAACAAGAUUCUCAUUAUUCGUAUUAAAUUUUAACAAUUUAUCAUUUUUAAUUUGUGAAACAAAUUAAUUGUAGAGAAUUAAUUAAAGCUAGUACCCUUGUACAAUAAGCGUUGCUUUUGCGCCAACACAUCAAGUUCCGAUAUCCUUAUUUUUUCUAUAUUUUUGAUUGAGGGUUCUAUGCUAGUAUUUGAUUGCUUUUUUUUUAAUUAAUAAUAACAAAUUGAAAACGAAAGUAAAUAGAUGUAGCUCUUUGUACCUAACAGGAUUUUAACUUGAAAUGUAUUCGCAUAUGUAAUGCUACAUAUAAAAUGUGCCGAUUUAAAUAAAAAAAAAAUUACUUAAAAACCAAAAAUUUGAAAGUUUUGGCGCGGAUGUUACGUUUUUGUACUUUACAUUUAAAUAUAAUUGUAAUUUAAAUAAUAUAGUUAUAUUUAUUUAUAGUUUUCUAACUUUUAAUUCAGCAUCUUUCAUAGUAACUGUAUAAUUUCAUUACUUAAUAUGUAUUUACAUAAGUCUUCUGGACUGUAGUAGGUAAUAAUUUGUAUUAUAUAAAAAAAAAAUUGAGAAUACUUCUCAAUGUAAAUAUAAGAACGUUAACAUUUUGAAAAUUUGUAUUAGCGAAAUAACAUGCUGAAAAGUAUUUGCAGAAAUGACAAAAAGACCCAAAGAUAAAUGUUAACAAAUUUUAAACUAGAAAUUGUAAAUUUUAAAAUGUUUGAUGAUACUUUUCCAUCAUCAAGCCAUGUACAAACCAUAAAUACAACAAUAGAUAAAAGACAAAAACCAAACGACCGCAAGGCCCAAUACAAAAAUGCGCUUUAAUUUAUUAUUACAAACCACAUUUAUUCAAAAGACGCCUGCCAAGUGAUGAAAUUUUGAAGAGCUGUUCCUUAAAUAAAUGUACAUUUAUAGUCGGAAAGUUGUUCAAAAAUCCCAGAACUUAACAAACAUCAUUUCAUGCAAUUCUGUACGCUCUGGCGUACAUAUGUUUGUAUUUACAUUAGAAAGUGCAAGAGAAGAGUUACAUACAUAUGUAAUAAAAUUUCAACCAUCAAAUUAAUAGCUUAUUAAAGCUAAAAAACGUAAUUUUCAAUUAAUGCUAGUCCUUAAUGCAAAAAAAAAAGUUAAUAAUCGGCGUUUGUAUGUAUAUUUUCCUAUAUCAAUUUUGGCCAUUACAAAUAUGAAAAAUUGUAAUUAAAAAUAUAAAUAUUGAUUGGAAUUAAUUUUUAAAAUCAGAGCAUACUAAAGUUACUUCUUUUUACGAUGAAAAUUUAAAGUGUAAAUUGAUUACAACUGCCUUAAAACAGUAUCCUGAUGAGUGAUUGUUUGCGGCUACAGCGGAGCACUUAAGCCCAGUACCUUGUUUUUUUAGUUCAUAAUAAUUUUUUUUUUUUUUUGGGGGAUACCAGAUAGUUGUUACUGUCUGAUAACUGAUUUAUAUCAAAUUAAAUUGUGAUGGAUUAUUAAGCAUUUGCCGGCAAUACGGUACAACAAUGUCCGACUUACCAUUAAGAAAAUUAUGAUAAUAAAUAUGUAUGUAUAAAAGGUAUGCUUAAAAAUAGUUCUUGUUUGAAUGGCUUCGAAACAUUCUUCUUAUCACACUUGCGCAUGAUUGUAAAGUAAAAGAUCUAGUUCCCUAGAUUUGUGUAAAAAAGUAAGAGGUAUUGUGUGUGGGAAGAGAAUGCUUCGAGUGUCGUUGUAAACAAUAAUUACUAAAUCUGAACUGCUGUUGCCAAUUUUUGUGAAUAUGUUGCAAAUGUUAGUUGCAAUCUUAAAUGGUAAAUAUUUUGAAUAUUGUGAUGCUAUAUACGUAUGUUAGUAUGUAUUGAAUAUAUUGUAUUUUGCUUACUUUUUGUUAGUAAUAUGAAAUUGUAUAUGACCCAUGUGUGAACAUACAAUAUAAUUGUUGAACUCCGCAAGUAAUCUGUAAUGAUAGUAAUAUAAAAAUUUGACAUUUUUCUCCGACUUCUUCUAGGAAGAAGCCAGAAAGAAUCAACAAUUAUUUAGUUAUUGGACGCGCACAACGUAAUAUGAAAAUGAAACUUAGUUGAACAAUGAAAAUUAUUAAUAAUAGUCAUGUGACUAGUUGAUGGGUGUGCGAUGAAUGAACUACACAAAUUUGUUAAUUUUUAACAUACCACUAUAGAUAUGUAUAGGUAUAUUGUACGUUUUGAAUACAUAAAACAAAAAUUAUUUUGAGUUAACAGAAAGUUUAUAUUCGCACAUAAACCCAAUUAAUUCAUAGGUACAUAUGUGUAUGUAAAACAGAUUGAAUUUGCAUUUUAAAAUUUUCUUUACCAAAUGUACGCUUUUAUUUUGUGUAAAUUAUUAGUACACAUUGCAUAUAUAGACCUUUUCAGAGCAAAAGCAAAAGCCACUUGCAAUUGAUAUAUUAAUAUAAUAUUGUAUUAUUGCGUGCUAAACUUAUCUUUUACUUUGAAAACGACUAUGUAAACUUUGCAAAAAAAAAAAUAAGUAAAAAGCAAGUUAUACAUACAUAUUUUAAACCUUAGCCUGUUCAUAUACGGAUGACAUAUAUUUCGUAUAUACGCAUUUAAAUUUAUGUAUAUGCCAAGCUUCUUACGAUUUUGCCUCAAUCUAUUUGAAAGUGCAGCCGUGAUAUUUGAACGCAAUCAAUAUUUUUAUUUAAUCCUAGUUUAUUUUUUUUUUAAGUCUAUGUAAACGCUUACGAUCUACUGUCUAGAGUUUAAUUCCAAUAAUCCAAAAGCAAAUGCAUACAAAAUGAUUGUGUGCGAUAAAAAAUACUUUAUGAACAUCUUAAAAUUUACACACACACGCAGACACUAGUGAAAUUAAGCGAAUUGCAUUUUUAAAUGUAAGUAAAAUAACAACAAGCGUAUUUUUUGCUACUCAGACAUAACCUGCAUACAUAGUACACAAUCCGAAGUUGUUAAAUAAAAACAUCAUAAAAUA